GACGAACGCUGGCGGCGUGCUUAACACAUGCAAGUCGAACGGAAAGGCCCUGCUUUUGUGGGGUGCUCGAGUGGCGAACGGGUGAGUAACACGUGAGUAACCUGCCCUUGACUUUGGGAUAACUUCAGGAAACUGGGGCUAAUACCGGAUAGGAGCUCCUGCUGCAUGGUGGGGGUUGGAAAGUUUCGGCGGUUGGGGAUGGACUCGCGGCUUAUCAGCUUGUUGGCGGGGUAGUGGCUUACCAAGGCUUUGACGGGUAGCCGGCCUGGGAGGGUGACCGGCCACAUUGGGACUGAGAUACGGCCCAGCCUCCUACGGGGGGCAGCAGUGGGGAAUUUUGCACAGUGGGCGGAAGCGUGAUGCGUCGACGCCGCGUGCGUGAUGACGGCCUUCGGGUUGUAAACCGCUUUCGCCUGUGACGAAGCGUGAGUGACGGUAAUGAGUAAAGAAGCACCGGCUAACUACGUG
rnacentral:rRNA from 1 species